rnacentral:rRNA from 1 species
UCCCGUGUUUCCGCUGGAAGGCCAUCGCUCAACGGAUAAAGCUACCCCGGGGAUAACAGGCUAUCUCCCCCAAGAGUCCACAUCGACGGGGAGGUUUGGCACCUCGAUGUCGGCUCAUCGCAUCCUGGGGCUGUAGUCGGUCCCAAGGGUUGGGCUGUUCGCCCAUUAAAGCGGUACGCGAGCUGGGUUCAGAACGUCGUGAGACAGUUCGGUCCCUAUCCGUCGUGGGCGUAGGAAAUUUGAGAGGAGCUGUCCUUAGUACGAGAGGACCGGGAUGGACGCACCGCUGGUGUACCAGUUGUUCUGCCAAGGGCAUAGCUGGGUAGCUAUGUGCGGAAGGGAUAAGUGCUGAAAGCAUCUAAGCAUGAAGCCCCCCUCAAGAUGAGAUUUCCCAUAGCGUAAGCUAGUAAGAUCCCUGAAAGAUGAUCAGGUUGAUAGGUUCGAGGUGGAAGCAUGGUGACAUGUGGAGCUGACGAAUACUAAUAGAUCGAGGACUUAACCAUAUAAUAUGUAGCAAUGUUAUCUAGUUUUGAAGGAAUAUACCUUCAAUAGUUUGGUGAUGAUGGCAGAGAGGUCACACCCGUUCCCAUACCGAACACGGAAGUUAAGCUCUCUAGCGCCGAUGGUAGUUGGGACCUUGUCCCUGUGAGAGUAGGACGUCGCCAAGCAACUAAAACACGAGUCAAAUGACUCGUGUUUUUUCGUGUUUUAUUUUAUAAUCCAUAGUAAUAAAAAAUGUGUUUAAAGUAUUCAUAUUUUGUUUAAAUACAGGGGAAUGUGGCUAGGAUAGUGAAUAAGCAAAAGAGUUGCAAAUUUUAUUAAUACGUAUAUAAUUAAAGUCAAAGAUAGUCAAAGUCAAUAAAGGUGGCGGAUAAAUGAGAAAUAUAUCUGAUAUCAUUGAGCAAUAUCUAAAGCAAGUUAUUGACUUAAGUAAUAAUAAUGUGAUUGAAAUCAAGAGAAAUGAGAUUGCGGAUCGAUUCGAGUGCGUACCAUCUCAAAUCAAUUAUGUAAUCAAUACCCGUUUUACGUUAGAAAGAGGAUUUGUAGUAGAAAGUAAACGUGGUGGAGGAGGUUACAUUCGCAUUAUAAAAGUCAAACUGCAUGACGAUAUAGAUAUUAUUGAUCAAAUGCUUCAUAUGAUUGAUCAUAGCGUUGCGCAAGGGAAUGCAGAAAGUAUGAUUAUACGUUUAAUAGAAGAGGGAAUUAUAACCAAUCGUGAAGCGAAACUGAUGUUAAGCGUAAUAGAUCGUUCUGUAUUAUCAAUGGAUGUUCCUUCUCGAGAUGAACUUAGGGCUCGAAUAUUAUGCGCAAUGUUAAGAACACUGAAAUAUAAAUAAAUAUAACUUUUGUAAAAGAUUGAUAACUAAGAUAAAGCAGUUAAAUAUUGUAGAAGUUUUGAAAAAGAACAUGCACUUUUAUUUAAACGGAUUCAGGAAAGCGAACAAUCUAGUAAUGUAUGAAAAGUACCAUGAGAUAGAGCGUUCCUGUUGUAAAGGUGGGGAUAGUGAUGACUUGUCAAAACUGUAAUAUAAGACCAGCAACUUUACAUUAUACAAAAGUAAUUAACGAGAAGAAGGCGGAAAUUCAUCUUUGUGAGCAAUGUGCAGAGCAAAGUGGCUAUACGUCUUUCUUUCCAUCAUCGCAGUCUAACUUUUCAUUUCAUGAUUUAUUUGCUGGUUUAUUACACGGUGAAUCAACAAUGUUUGAAGAAGGAAAAAAUGGAUUUUCAAAUGCAGA